CUAAGAGAAGCUCAAUCUUUAUUUAAAAUAGGUUUCAUCACAAGGUCAUUCAGAGAGUUCAGGGAACAUCAGGAAACAGUUUCAGACAGGUUUCAUUCGAGGUGUAAACAAAAGGAUCACAGCAUUAUUAUCAGAGCUAGAACCAGCAGAGCCUGUCUUCAUCCUGCUGCCCUGCGUCAACAUGCCUUCAGGCCCCACACAUGGUCAUCAUUCAGACUGCAGCGUGUGCACUGAAGUCACUCUGAGCCCCAUUUGAACAUCAGGAGAAGGUAGAAAAGGGCUCUCUAAGGAAUAUAAGAAAUGUAACUUCUGUUAGACAUAUCGUAUCCUGUAGAAAACAAGAGACGAGUGAUGAGAAGUAUUUUUAUUCCUAUUGGUCAAAACUGAUUACAUUUACUUUAGAAAAAAACUUAAAAUACAGAAGUGUGGU